UACGAAGGGGGCUAGCGUUGCUCGGAAUCACUGGGCGUAAAGGGUGCGUAGGCGGGUCUUUAAGUCGGGGGUGAAAGCCUGUGGCUCAACCACAGAAUUGCCUUCGAUACUGUUUGGCUUGAGACCGGAAGAGGUUAGUGGAACUGCGAGUGUAGAGGUGAAAUUCGUAGAUAUUCGCAAGAACACCAGUGGCGAAGGCGGCUGACUGGUCCGGUUCUGACGCUGAGGCGCGAAAGCGUGGGGAGCAAACAGG
rnacentral:rRNA from 1 species